rnacentral:rRNA from 1 species
AUUGAACGCUAGCGGGAUGCCUUACACAUGCAAGUCGAACGGAGUGGCGAACGGGUGAGUAAUGUAUCGGAACGUGCCCAGUAGCGGGGGAUAACUACGCGAAAGCGUAGCUAAUACCGCAUACUAUUGGAGCGGCCGAUAUCGGUUUAGCUAGCUGGUGGGGUAACGGCUCACCAAGGCGACGAUCCGUAGCUGGUUUGUGUGGACGACCAGCCACACGUGGACUGGGACACGGCCCAGACUCCUACGGGAGGCAGCAGUGGGGAAUGUUGGACAAUGGGGGAACCCCUGACCCAGCCAGCCCGCGUGUGCGAUGAAGGCCUUCGGGUUGUAAAGCACUUUUGGCAGGAAAGCGGUACCUGCAGAAUAAGCACCGGCUAACUACGUGCCAGCAGCCGCGGUAAUAC